rnacentral:rRNA from 1 species
CCUACGGGCGGCAGCAGUGGGGAAUAUUGCGCAAUGGGCGAAAGCCUGACGCAGCGACGCCGCGUGAGGGAUGAAGGUCUUCGGAUCGUAAACCUCUGUCAGCAGGGAAGAACGGUCACUGUGCUAAUCAGCAGUGAAUUGACGGUACCUGCACAGGACGCACCGGCUAACUCAGUGCCAGCAGCCGCGGUAAUACGGAGGGUGCGAGCGUUAAUCGGAAUUACUGGGCGUAAAGCGCUCGUAGGCGGUAUGCCAAGUCAAGGGGGAAAUCCCCGCGCUCAACGUGGGAACUGCCUUUGAAACUGGGAAACUGGAGUGUGUGAGAGGAUAGUGGAAUUCCAGGUGUAGGAGUGAAAUGCGUAGAUAUCUGGAGGAACAUCAGUGGCGAAGGCGACUAUCUGGCACAUAACUGACGCUGAGGAGCGAAAGCGUGGGUAGCAAACAGGAUUAGAUACCCCAGUAGUC